GACAGGCAAAUACCGUGAGGAUAUUUCAGUAAUUACGGGAUGAAAGUACUUUAAAUGAUCUGCAGAAUGCAACAAGCCUUCCCAAGCCUCGAGUCAAAUCUGUGUAAAAAGGCUAGCUGGUAGCUGCAGCAUUUUUGAUGCGACAGGACGAUUGAAAACGAGGACAUGAUUAGAUUCGAAGACACGGUAUCGGUGACGAUGAGUGUAGUUUUCAGAAAGAGCGCGUACGUGUUUCGACAAUUUGCAUGCUUGUUCGUCGACCUUAUUUCAGUUCUCACGUCAGCUCUCCGAUACUACGGCAUGCUCCAGCGGCGCCGAUCCACCGUGUUAUACGGCAGCAGGUACCACGAUUACUUCCCCACGUCAUCAUCAAUGGCUGCUGUUCGACAUGAUCGAUAGAUCAUCGUUUUAAUUAAUCAUCAACUUCAUUUUUUGACGUGAUUGAUGAUCAAUUUUCUUGUUUUGUUCUCUGCCGGUCGAUGAUAUGCUGCAGUAGGAAUUAAAUUCAAUGCCAUGAUGAUUGAUUUAAGUUUAAUAAUUCCGCUUAUUAUUAUAUUAUAUGGUUUGUAUAAUAAGAUGGAUAUUUCAAAUUUGUCUAGGUAAUUUGCCUUCUUUUAAAUGUAAAAGUGCAGUUGUUGCAUAUAUAUUUUUUAAUUAAAGGUAGGAUCAUGCAUGCACAUGAUUCUUAACCAUCUUGAUUAAAUUCACAUACUAGUUGAUGAUUUGGAUUAGUAUUUUUGUACUUUAUUUAUUUAUUUAUAUUACACUGUAGUGACCUUACAAUUAAGAGUCACAGAAACUAAUUAAAUCUACACAAUUAAAGAAUGAAACUAAAUCUGCUAGUAACCCAGUGUAAUAAUAUAAUUAAAAUUUUUAUCUUGAUCCACAAGUACUAAUUGGCAUGGCUGGUGUAAAGAAAUGAAAGAAGAGAAAGCAAGAGGAGCGGAGAGAAAAGGAGGAGAGAAGAAAGAAAUUAAAAAAAAAAAAGAAUAAGAGAUAAAUUUCAUAUCAAACUAAAUAAUGAAAUUAGAAAUUAGGUCUCUUUUUCUUCGUUUCUUCUAACCAAUUAUUAACUAAAUAUUUAGAAGCUGUGUAAUCACUUAUGACUAGUGAAGCUUAAGAUAUGACUUGUUGAUUCAGCAGAAUUAGAAGGCAUUCAUUAAACUAUUGUAUGUUAGAUUAUAUGAAUUCACUGGACGAGUUUCUUUUUACUUGAAAGAAUUCUUCGUUAUUGUUUAAUUGCAUGGAUUGGAUUGUGAUAAUCUGUUCUCGAAUAAAAGCCAAGAAUCCCGUGACUUGAUUCAACAUGGAGAGUGGAAUCACAUCAUUUAGAGACCUCCAGAACCUUUCAAAUGGUAUAUGUAUAUGUCAUGCGUAUUGUGAUGAAUUGGACGUCUUGAUGAUUCCUUCUGCAGCUGGGAAAAAUCAUGCCGAAAAAAAAAUAGUUUUAUUUUUUUAUUUUUUUAUUUCUGCAGAUAAACAAUUUAUGCUAUUAAGAAGUCACAUUAAAUUUACUUGUUCUCGACUCUACAUGUAUUAUUGUAAUCUUUUUUCAUCAUCUCGUUAUUUAACAAAUCAUUACUGAGAAACUUCCCAAGUCUAAUACAAAUACAUCUUUAUGGAAAUGAGUUCAUCGUUUAAGGCGUAAAAUUUUAAGUUAAUAUCAGAUAUUGAAGUAAAUUAAAAUAGUCUAAUUGAGUAGUUUAAUAAUAGCCGUGGAAGGAGUUAAUGUUGACAAUAAAAAAAAAAACUCUAUCUUAAUUUUAAUUUAUAUACCCCAUCUAGAAUUACAAUCUUCAAUAUACCCUUUAAAGUCAUGAAAAUAUCAAUUUACUCCCAUUUUCUUUCAAAAUAUAUGAAGCGAUUUGAUAUAUAUAUAUAUUUUUAAUCUUUUGAACUAAAAGUGGUGGUCGGUGGGAGAUAAAUUGAAGAUUACCAUUCUGGUGGGAGUAAACAAUAAACACUAACUUACCCUUAAUUAAAAGAUGAAAAAUAUCGAGAGAAUGAGAAUGGUCAAACUCAUCUAGAUCAACAUGAUAUAUGUAUAUAUGACAAAGUCAUUGACAAGCGUAAAUAGCAUGUGCCAGCGCAUACGAUGGACGAUCUAUCGUUUGAUUUUGAGAAUAUUUGACAUGCCUUUUAUAUUACAAAAGUGUAGACGACAUGAUAUAUAUAAAUUUUACAUGUUGAUGAUGCAUAAUCUAUUAAGUUGAAUUCCACAUAAUUUUUUGUAAGAUUAAGAGAUUGUUUGUUUUUUAAAAUUUAAUAGAAUAAUAAACCAUUUAUACACACAUACACAUGUACAUAUGCAUACAUACAUACAUAUUUGUUUUCUUUGACACUGAAAAUAAGUUGUUCGUAUAUUUGGAUAGAAUUAAGGAAAAAUCUUUAACUUGAAAACUAAUGCUUAAGUAUAAAUAUCCACAAUGUUUGGACUCUCAUUCAGCACAUUCUAAAUUUGGUUAAUAAUGUAAAAAUUGUACAUGUUAUAUUUAAUACAUGUUAUUUUAAAUAUUUAUUCUUUUUCAUAAUACUAAUAUAUAUGGAUAGAUAGAAUUUUUAUAAAACUAAAAUUAGAAAACUAAAACGCCAUUAGUUAAACCAAAAGAAAAUCAAAGGUAGUCCAUGUGUCUUAAAAUACUAUUUUUCUUAAAAACAAAACUUGUACGUUGUAGAAAAUGAAAAACAAAAAACACUGUUAACAAUGGUUUGCUAUUAAUUGGUCAAUUUGUCAAGAUGUCCAUUGUGAAAUUUUACUUUAAAUAUUACAAAUCGUUUAUAUUUCUCAACAACUUUACGUCCAAUACUUUAAAUUUUAAUCGACAAAUAGGUUGUAGAUGAUAGGGACGUUUGUCAUAUUAUACUUAAAUGACAUGUCUUUAAUGUGACUAAUGAAAAAAUGACAUAACAACCGUUGUAUUUACAUAAAUGACAACCAUAAACAGUUUGCAUUAGCGCAUCCUACAGAUGAUCUAUUGUUUGUAUUUUGAUUGAAAACGACAUGUAUGUUAAUUUGUAAAUGUGUAGACGACAUGAUGUUAUUUAAUUUUACUAGAUAGUGACAUGUCAACUAUUAAGUUGAAUUGCACAUAAUUUUAAUAAAAAUAAGAGAUCUUUAUUUUUUUAAUAAUUUAAUAAAAUAAUAAACUAUUUCAAUUGUUCAUAUAUUUUUACACUUUUGUUUUCUUUAACACUAAAAAUAAGUUAUUCGUAUAUUUAGGUAAAGUUAUAGAAAAAUAUUUAACUUGAAAAUAAUGCUUAAGUAUGAAUAUAUACUAUGUUAUACACACACAGACACACACUCUUUGUACUCUAUAUAGGAAGAUAAUUAAUCUUUUUCCCUCUUAUUAGGUACGUUCUAAAUUUGGUUUAAUAAUGUAAAAAUUGAACUUAUUUAUGUAGUACAUUUUAUUUGAAAUAUUUAUUUUUUUAUAAUAUUAAUAUAUGUGGAAAGAGCGACCAUUUAAAAUAUUAAAAUUAGAAAAUUGAAAAACUAUUA
rnacentral:lncRNA from 1 species